UUACUUACAGGAUGCUAUAACGAUGCGGCACAACUUCUUCAUCGAUCUUCUAGCGCACGAAGCGAAUGCCUGGAGGACAAGACUACCAGGCAUUGUAAAACAUUUCCUUUGGCGCAUCACAGGCAAAGAAAUAGGAUAGAUGGGGGGCAUUUGGAUGACCUGUAUUCGUACUUGUUCUACAUGAUUAUUGUCCUGCUGAAUCCAAU
rnacentral:lncRNA from 1 species